rnacentral:tRNA from 1 species
AGCAGCGUGGCUCAGUGGAAAGAGCCUGGGCUUGGGAGUCAGAGGUCAUGGGUUCGAAUGCCAACCCUGCCA